rnacentral:rRNA from 1 species
UACGGGGGGAGCAAGCGUUGUUCGGAUUUACUGGGCGUAAAGGGCGCGUAGGCGGCCAGCGCAAGUCAGUUGUGAAAUCUCCGAGCUUAACUCGGAAAGGUCAACUGAUACUGUGCGGCUAGAGUGCGGAAGGGGCAACUGGAAUUCUUGGUGUAGCGGUGAAAUGCGUAGAUAUCAAGAGGAACACCUGCGGCGAAGGCGGGUUGCUGGGCCGACACUGACGCUGAGGCGCGAAAGCCAAGGGAGCGAACGGG